AGUGAACGCUGGCGGUAGGCCUAACACAUGCAAGUCGAACGGCAGCACAGUAAGAGCUUGCUCUUACGGGUGGCGAGUGGCGGACGGGUGAGGAAUACAUCGGAAUCUACUUUUUCGUGGGGGAUAACGUAGGGAAACUUACGCUAAUACCGCAUACGACCUACGGGUGAAAGCAGGGGAUCUUCGGACCUUGCGCGACUGAAUGAGCCGGUGUCGGAUUAGCUAGUUGGCGGGGUAAAGGCCCACCAAGGCGACGAUCCGUAGCUGGUCUGAGAGGAUGAUCAGCCACACUGGAACUGAGACACGGUCCAGACUCCUACGGGAGGCAGCAGUGGGGAAUAUUGGACAAUGGGCGCAAGCCUGAUCCAGCCAUACCGCGUGGGUGAAGAAGGCCUUCGGGUUGUAAAGCCCUUUUGUUGGGAAAGAAAAGCAGCAGGUUAAUACCCCGCUGUUCUGACGGUACCCAAAGAAUAAGCACCGGCUAACUUCGUG
rnacentral:rRNA from 1 species